UACGUAGGGGGCAAGCGUUGUCCGGAAUUAUUGGGCGUAAAGCGCACGUAGGCGGCUUACUAAGUCAGGGGUGAAAUCCUGGAGCUCAACUCCAGAACUGCCUUUGAUACUGGGAUGCUUGAGUACUGAUGAGGUAGGCGGAAUGGACGGUGUAGCGGUGAAAUGCUUAGAUAUCGUCCAGAACACCGAUAGCGAAGGCAGCUUACUAAGGAGUAACUGACGCUGAGGCACGAAAGUGUGGGGAUCAAACAGG
rnacentral:rRNA from 1 species